rnacentral:rRNA from 1 species
UACGUAGGGUGCGAGCGUUAAUCGGAAUUACUGGGCGUAAAGCGUGCGCAGGCGGUUAUGUAAGACAGAUGUGAAAUCCCCGGGCUCAACCUGGGAACUGCAUUUGUGACUGCAUAGCUAGAGUACGGCAGAGGGGGAUGGAAUUCCGCGUGUAGCAGUGAAAUGCGUAGAUAUGCGGAGGAACACCGAUGGCGAAGGCAAUCCCCUGGGCCUGUACUGACGCUCAUGCACGAAAGCGUGGGGAGCAAACAGG